rnacentral:lncRNA from 1 species
CUCCCCCGCCGCUAACGCUACUUAUCCCGGGAAAGCUCGAGCGGGCCCCGGGAGCGAACCCACAGACAAAAAGUGAAACUUCGGCAGCAGGCCGGGAGUGGCUGCUGACGACAGAUUGGAAAGCUGAGCUUGAGCAAAGAGAUUCUGCCAUGGAACACCCCACCCCCCACCCUAAGAGCCUCGUCGGAGCCCCGCCCAGGACUCCAGCAGGACUCAGAAGUCCGGGAUGGUAGAGAGCAACUUCAGUUCCCUUCGCACAGGAGAGCUCCGAAGCUGGGACCUGACCCAGUCCUGCCCCGUGGAGAGGAGCCAGUAUUCUACUCUUAGCUGGGUUUCCGCCUCCAGGCACGACCCGGCCUCUAACUGUGAGCUUAGACCCAAGUUAGAACUAGGCAGAUGACUUGACCCACUGAAGUGACUAACCCCAGUUCCUGGAAGGUUGUGGUUGACAAGCCUUGAGAAACAAUGGCAAUCGAGUGCUUCAGGGCAACUUCCUGUCCUUUGUUCAAAGACAAGAACCUUUGGAGUUUAACUUUUGCUUCCCAACCCGGCCCUGCCGGAAAACCAACCAGAAAGCUUGCUCUGUUCUUACAGCUUAAAAAAAGAAAAUACACGAACUGGGUGAACUGGUUUGAAUAAAGACAAGCCUGUUCUUGGAAGGUUGGGUUUGGAUAUUUUGUGUUUGAUAUUUGUAAAAGUGAGCAACGAUGAGAACCCCAUUUACUAGGUUAAGAUUCCGGCUAGGAGACACUGGAAGCCCUCUGGCCCUCAGUAGUGAACGCUUUUCAUCCCUGCACAAAAGAGGUUUACAUAGACCCUGUCACAAACUAACCAAAAACACAGAUUUGGGUGGUGGUGGGGGGGUGUUUCUAUCCUGUAUCCUUUGCCUUACCCCAGUCUCCCAAACAACCUCAACCCAUGCUAAUAACACAACCACCCAUUCUGGUCUUUGAGUGGGUUGGGUAGGAUCUAAGGAAAAUACCAUAACAUGACCUGCACAACACAGCUGUCUGAGCAUGCUCCUGACCUUCCCACUCUCAAGCCACCUUCCACCACCGUGGGCCCUCACCUUCUACAGCCUAACUCAGUCAUGCAGACAGAAAAAGUACACCAGGAACUACAGGGGCGGGGACGCUCCAACGUGACUCUUCUCCGGUUAUAUUUUGAUGAACCUUUCGGACUAAGUGUCAAAGUACGUACUCCUGUACUUAACAUGUAGUGAACAUUUCUCCGGCAGUCUUCAAAAUUCAAACACUUCUGGGGCCAAACUGCUUAACCCCUUUGCCCUCCCAAGUUUCCCAGCUACACACACUCAAAAGUAGGAGUACAGCAGGAGAGAACAAGAGUACUUGUGCAUUCCACGGGAAACAGGCUCCCAGGGGUCCAACUUUUUAAGAGAUCACAGUAUAUUCACUCUACCCUAAGCAUUUCAGCCAAUGCAUGCCCUCUGUGCUACUGCAAUGGAAGUCAUCCAUUGCUCGUUUAGGUAUAACGGAACUUGACCAGCAUCCCUUGCUUGCUUUACUCCCUUCUCAGUAACCCACUUAUAAAGAAUAAUAGAGUUCUAAUGAGGAUUAAUAAAAUUUAAUAAGG